GCGACUUAAGAUUUGUUUCAAUCAUAGUGGUAGGGCCUACAAUCAUUUAUUUAAAUUUUUCAAUGAUGAAAUUGAUUUGGUGGAUUUAAUUAAACAUAAGGGUAGACGGUGCUUUAACACUUCAACCUCAAAUCUCUACUCCAAGUAUCAGAUCAUACUCGACGAUCUAACUCAGUCCAUCAUGGCACAAGAACUCAAGAAGAACAGUGAUGUAGAGCAAGUCUAUAUCCCCUUUUCUCGGUGCCUCCUAUUCCUACAUGUAACCCGCACAUCUCUAUUUUUGGUUUAUAAUCACUAAUUAAACAUAACCACACAAUCUAGGAAAUACUACAG
rnacentral:lncRNA from 1 species